CCAGCAGCUUUUUUCAGACUCGAUCUCGCCAACAAUUUCAUCUCAUCUAGAGGAUUCUGCGGCUCCUAAACGAGCUGAUAGGCGGAGUAACCCUGUGAAGAUUUUCGGUCGGCAUGAGGGCUAAGGUUAGCACAACUUCAUCGAUUUAGAUUAAUUCAAAUGUAUUUUUGUAAAUCUAUCUCCGUUUUGAAGCGUAUUUUCGAUUGAUAUUUAUUAUUGCGAGAUCAUCUUUUUUCUUAUAUGAAUUAUUUUUAACUGUUUUCUUAUUCUGAAUUGUUGUAUUUUAUUGCCUACUUUCUUAUUAAAUUGAUAUUUCUCUAUCGCCUGUGGCAUUGUUCUAGUUGCGCCAUGACCUUUAUUAGAUUUGUCUUUGUGCCAAAUAUGUGUAAUCUGUCAGUGUUUAAUGAUGCAUUUUUUUAAUCCAUAUUUCCAUUAUUGUUUUCAUUAAAAUGUUAGAUGUACAAAUCAUCAGAUGUUACCUUUUAAACUGUAGAUUUACCUAAUUAAAAAAAAAAGGAAAAAGGGUUUAGGGUUUCACUUGAACUGGAAAUUGAGAGUGCUGGUUCUUGAAUCUAGAGUCCCAGAAAAAGUUGUUGAAAUGUGAUUGUUAUUUCACAUUAUAAUUUUUCUCUUGCUUAUUUUCAAUCAUACAACCUUCUAUAAGAUAACUUUACAAGAUAACUUUGCACGUAAAUCUAAAAAUUUUCUUCAUUUUUCAACCACAACUUCUGCAAAAACAAUACUAUUUCAAAAAUUAUAAUCCCAAAUAAUAGCAGGCAAAUGGGGGUUAAAUUUUGCGUUGAGAAGGGAGUAUGAGUUCACAAUGUACAAUACAGGUCUUUUAGGUUUAAUCUUAUGCGGUUGUUAAGUUACACUCUCAUGCAUUUUACAGUGGAAGAAGAAGCGUAUGAGGAGGUUGAAGAGGAAGCGCCGAAAGAUGAGACAAAGAUCCAAGUAGAUGAUGGAAAUGGAUACUUGGAUGGGUUCUUUUGAGCGGCCCGGCCAUUUCUUCAUUGGCUAUUUGGUGUUUUCGAAUGAAUGGAAGGAAGUUCUGUAGACGGGAGUUGUCUUGUUUUCAAUUAUGUUCCGAUUCCCAUUCUAUAUUCUAGACUAUAAUUGAGUAUGGCAUAUGUUUUCAUUUCGAAUAUAAACAGUAUAAGAGACUUGUACUGCACCUGUUCUAUCCAAUAUUUACUUCCUUUUUAAGUUUAUCUGCAUCAUAUUUUUUAAAUUUUGCCGGAUUUUGAUUCAGUUUUAAAAUUCUGCAUGUAUGUUUUGCUUGUAUUACAAGCUCGUAAUAGUCUAUUUUCAUAAUCAUCUUUAUAGCCCCAAUUUGGCCCCCAUUAUUUUAAAUUAUGAGUAUCUCGUAUUUUCAUUCACACAAUCUUCUAUAAAAUAAUGUUAUAUAAAAAUUGAAUUUUUUUUUUUUUAAUUAUACAUUUUUCAAAAAAAUAUUAUUCUAAAAAUUAUAAAUCGAAAUAAUGGGCAUCUAAUGUGAGGGGGGUUGUAAGUUUGUACAGUCUUGUACUAGCAGAAUUUUCCUUCUUAGGGCUGUACAAGUGCAAUUUUCCUUCUCAAUAUUGUGGUAAGCAUUUUCACUGUGGGAUUUUUUUAACAGUUGGCCUAUCUGUUUAUAAAAACUAUUUAUAGGCAGG
rnacentral:lncRNA from 1 species